rnacentral:lncRNA from 1 species
GGGGUGGUCUCUGGCCUGGCAUUGGAGUCUCAACAGCCCGGGAUGGGGGACUUCAAUGUCCAUGCCGAGACCAACCUUUCAGGCAUGGCUCAGGACUUCAUGGCCUCCAUGGCAACCAUGGGGCUGUCCCAACGAGUAUCUGGUCCCACCCACAGAGCUGGGCACACGCUUGACUUGGUUUUCUGUCAGGGAUGGGAGGAAAAUGGAGGUGUGGAGGAGCUUACCAUCGCUCCGUUGCCAUGGACCGACCAUCACCUGAUCAGGUUUAGACUUGCUGCGCCCCCUAACCUCCGCACGGGUGGAGGACCCAUUAAAAUGGUCCGCCCCAGGAGGCUCAUGGAUCCGGACGGUUUCCUGAUGGAGUUUCCCGCCACCUCGGCUGGUGAUUCUGUUGAUGCUCUGGUCGCCCUCUGGAACAAGGAGGCGACUAGGGCAAUAGACACGAUCGCUCCGGAACGUCCCCUCUCGAGUACCCAAGCUAAACCAUCUCCUUGGUUUACUGAGGAGUUGGCAGCGAUGAAGCGAAAGAAGAGGGGACUAGAGCGCGUGUGGUGUUCAAAACCGAACGAGUCAAACCGAACACGGCUGGGCUCUUAUCUUAAGGCUUAUGCCGUGGCAAUAGACGCUGCAAAGAACUCUUUCUUUGCAGCUAAUAUUGCGUCCACACAGAACCAUCCAGCGGAGCUGUUCCGAGUUGUCAGAGGUUUGUUAUAUCCCGUCCUUCGGGACGGGAUCCCUGACAACUCGACAGCCCGCUGUGAAGCAUUUGCUCGGUUCUUUGCGGACAAAGUCGCUUUGAUCCGCUCUAGCUUUGACACCAUUUUAACGGCAGUCUCCGAGGAUGUAACAAGUGCACCUGCUUGUCCUAUUUUGAUGGAUUCGUUCCAAUUGGUUCAGCCCAAGGACGUGGACAAGGUGCUUGGAGAGGUGAGGGCUACCACAUGCAUCCUAGACCCCUGCCCAUCCUGGCUGGUGAGAGAAGCCAGAGGGGGAUUGGCCGAGUGGGUGAAGGUGGUGGUGAAUGCCUCCCUUCGGGAAGGCAUAUUUCCAGCAAGCCUUAAAUUGGCUUGAUUAAACCGCUGUUGAAGAAGCCAUCACUGGACCCCACUCAAUUGGAGAACUAUCGGCCUAUUUCCA